UACGUAGGGGGCAAGCGUUGUCCGGAUUUAUUGGGCGUAAAGAGCGUGUGGGCGGUCAGGUAGGUCCGUUGUGAAAACUCGAGGCUCAACCUCGAGACGCCGAUGGAAACCAUCUGACUAGAGUCCGGAAGAGGAGAGUGGAAUUCCUGGUGUAGCGGUGAAAUGCGCAGAUAUCAGGAGGAACACCGGUGGCGAAGGCGGGUCUCUGGGCCGAUACUGACGCUGAGGAGCGAAAGCGUGGGGAGCGAACAGG
rnacentral:rRNA from 1 species